UCCCAUUCCUAUAUCCUCCUCUCAUUGUACUCUACUUUUAUAAAAUAUAUGAAAGGGUAUUCAUUUGUAUAUAUAUUUUUAUAAUAAUUUAACAAGGUCAUGCUAAGGGCAUUUGUCUAAAAGUUGAAACUAGGUCAAAACUUAAAAGUAGCGUUUUUUUUUUUUUUUUAAAAAAUAAAUUAAAAGCAACAACUUAAACAUUCAAAAAAAUUGAAUAUACAUGCACCAAGCAUGAAAAAGUAGAUGAUUUGGUUGAGGGGUCAUGUUUGAGAUUGGUGGAUAAAAAAGUUGAUGAUUUGGUGUUUUAUUGCAAGGCAAUCACUACAAAUAUUUUAAAUAUUUUGAUCGAUGAUAUCGUGGAUUGGUGGUGGGGACAGUAAAAGUUGCACUUAAGGCUCUUUGCUAUUUCGACUUAAAAAAAAAAAAAGAUUUUAAGUUAUAAGAAUCUAGAGAUUUUUAAAAAAAUCUAAAACUAUUUUUGUUUGCAUACUAUCCAAAAAAAUCCAUUUAAAAAAAAAGUUUUAAUUUGUACAUGUGUUACUUCAUUAUUGUUGAAAAAAAAAAUUAGAUUUUGAGAAAAGCUAAUCCUAAUAGCUUUUCAUUUUAGGAUCAAAUAGAUUUUUUUAAUAAAAUGAUUUUUUUAAAAAUCCUUAACAAACACUUAAAAAUGAAAAAAGAGAUUUUUUAAGGAAAAAAAUAGAUAUUUUUGGCAAAAAAGCUUAAACAAAUGGAGCCAAUGUUUCAUGAAAACCCUUUUUUCCGUGCACACAUUGUACCACACCAUGUGAGAGACAUAAAAUGUGAUUUUUUUUGUGUGUGUAUGAAACCACAUGGAUACAUGUCAAUUCUACACCUACAUCAAAUUGUGACAUGUGUCAACGUGAUAACGGUAUUAUCACUUCUCCACAUAUUUAUGCUCCAACCGAAAGCAGAUUAACACACGCACCUCGUUUACAAUGAUUGGGCCAAUUGUUCACGAGCAUAUAGUAUAUAUGGUAUAACUAAAAAAUAAACAUAGUAUAAAGUAGAACAGAAUGUUUGUAAAGAAGAAAAACAGAAUGAAACAUUCCUGUAAAAAAAAAAAAAAACAGAAUGAAACUUAUAAUUAGAUAAAGAUAUUUUUGUAAAGAAAUUGUUAAUGCAUGUGAAAAUUUAAAAGUAGUCUUAUACCGGGAACAAAGAAGUAUGAAGUUUGAAAGGUGGGUUUUAUAAUUAGGAAUUGGAGGGAACAAUUUAUAAUAGGAAUUGGAAGGAACAAUUUAUUAGACAUUCAAAUAAAUAGAUUUAAUUAUUCUGAUUAGAGAAAUUAUAAAUUCUUCCGAUUUAAUAAUUAUAUUUUCGUCUGCGUAAGUCUUACCUCAUUAUUCACCUUAAGAGGUUAAUUUAUAGUCACUAUGCUACUUGAUUUUUUUCUUUCUUUUCAAAUUGCCAUUGUUCUAUUUAUUUGAAAAUAUAUUCAUUUCUCCUUAUUUUUCAACGUAUUAUUAAGAUAUGUUAAAGAUAAUUGACUUUCAAAACUAAGAAAAAGAAAAAACGGGCCUUAGGUGACCCAACCACCAACUAUACUAAUCCUAAUUUUUUUUCGUCAUUUUAUUAAGUAUUGUUAUGUUAUGCCUAAUUUUCACCUAUGCAUCAUCAAAACACAAAAUCGUUUUUCUAUAUUUUAAUAAUGCAAAAUGCUUUCUUUGCUAAAAAAAAAAUGCAGAAUGCUUUCUCGCACAUUUUUUUUGACGAAAUGUUUUCUAUCACUUGCUAUUAGCCUCUUAAAAUAAAAAAAAAAUCAUGCAAAUGGUUUCAGCUAAAGUGGACAAGUGCUUACAAUUGUCGUGUGCAUUAAUUUAGGUCACUUUCUCAUUUUAAAGCAAUAAUCUAAUCUAACUUCUAAAAUAGCAGCAGGGGGCAAGAAGAUACAUUCAUGCAGUUACGGGAUCCAUGACAAUUAGUUUGAAAUCAACUUGUCUAUAAAAUAAACAUAUUUUGAUUUUUUGUUUUUUAAAUAUUAAAAUUUUCGAGAUAAAGAUCUAACCCAUCUAAUCUUGCAUGAUCACAAAUCCUUUGACCAUGGAAAUGUGUAUAAUCAGUGAUAUAGGAAAUCUGAGUUGAGUUCCGAGGACUUGUUUCUCUGCCUUCGAUAACUUAUUUUGAUUUGAAUAAAAUUGGCUAUAGGUUGAACUGUUGUAUAUAGUAUUUUAAGGUUUAGGAUUGAUUUAUAAUUUUUGUUAAAAUAAAGGUUUGAUUAUAUUUAGAUAUUGUAUAAAAAGGUGUCUGCACCUUGUCAAAUAAAAAAAGAAGAAAAGGUGUGUGCACCAUAGGUUCUUAUUUAGAUAAAAAAAAAAAAAAAAAAGUCCACAUCCUCACCUAACUCACUUCACUAAUUCAAGUGGACAAAGUCCACAUGAGUGUUUUCAUAAAAAAAAACAAGUCCACAUCCUCACCUAACCAUAUGAGUGUUUUCAUAAAAAAAAAAAAAAA